GCCGCGGCCUGGUGCGCGGCGACUUCAGCUUCUGGGCCGAGCUGGAACGCCAGCCGGCGUCGUUCGAGCCGGUGCCGCGCCG
rnacentral:tRNA from 1 species